AAUAAUUCCAACGUUAGGAUCCUCACCAAGAAGAUUCGGAGAGAAUCCUCAUUCCAAUAGGAAAAGAGAGGAUUGGUGUUUUUUUUUUUUACUUGGUUUUUACCGGAGAAACGCGCGCAGAUAUACAAAAUUCGACAUGAAGAAAAGAAGAAAAGACGGCAAGGCAAUACAGACAAGUCGUGAAGUCCUCGAAGAAAGCUUCAGGAAGCAAGGAUUUAGUCCUCCUAGGGCAUGCUCAAGGCCCCUUGUGGUUUUAGACCCAUGGAAUUCUUCAAUCUACAAGUCAACGGUGGCUGCCCUUGCGGACGAGAAAUCUUUCGCGGAGAAAUGUCGUCGGUAUCCUCAACACUACAAUGAGGCGAAGUACAGGAGGAUUUUGGAGGCAAACAAACCGCGUACAUUAGAUGCUUGGAAAUUGAGGGACGCUCAUCCACUUUGUACACCAGUGAUUGUGCAGAAGGAUCCAAGCAGCGACAUUCCUGACAUUACUAAUGUGACCCACUUCCUACUCGAACCUGAUAUGACUCUCCCAGAAUUUGCUGAUUGCAUUCGGUCAUUUCUUUCCGACUUUGAACCAGAAUGGCCUAUCUAUGUCUAUUUCAAGAACACAGUCCCCAAAACUGGAGCCUUGAUGUCUGCUAUCGAUGAGAAAAACAAGGACGAUGAUGGAUUUCUUCGCGUGACCUACAGUGCAGAUUGGAAAAAGGAAGGAGUAGUCUUUCGAUCCGGUGAUAUACCAAGGAUUAAAGAGUUAGACGGUAGGAAUGCUUUAAAACGCUCAUUUGAUGAGAAGCUUGGAAUUUUCAAUGAUUUUACAAAGGGUACUUUGGAGGUGCUGGAACGGCGUAUUUCAGAUGCUAAGAAAAUGAGGCAGUGGUAUCCGUCUCAUGAACUGGUGAUUGUGGAGAAGGAUGGAAGCAGUGGCCUUCCUGAACUUGAUGCAAAGAAGUUAGUUUCCGGUUCCGUUUUGCCUUGGAUACCAAGUCCACGGUGAUGUCACUCUUGAGGAGUUUGUUGGGUAUCUUCAGACAAAGGUUGCAUGUAAAGAUCCUUUGUUUGUGUAUUUCAAGAACACUGAACAUCCCAAUGGAACCUUGAUGUCUGCAAUUGAUGAGGAAAACAGGGAUGAAGACGGGUUUCUUCGCAUGACCUACUGUGGAACAAGAGAGAGGCUGGACGCAUUGAAGAUCUCUGAGUCAGUGGUCUGACGACUCUGGCCUGCUUAGAUAUUAUGUUGAGAUGAAUGGCGUGGAUCGUUGAAAUGUUUUAUCACUAGACUCUGCUUAGAUAUGAUAUGGUUUUUAGACUUGAAGAAAACUUAACCUUGAGAUCAAGGGAUUGCAGUGAACUUUUAGCGCAAUGACCAAAAUGUUUUAGUUAUCUGGUGCCAUUCGGAGAAAAGAAGAUAGAAGUUGAAAGUAAGUUUGAGUGUAUUUAAUAAUAUUCUGUUUUUCGGAUGUAUUGUUUUGGGAGGACUGCUGGCUAUUCGAUGCGCUCUUUCAUCCCCCAUGGAGGAGUUAUGUGUGGAUUCGCCACUGUUCUGCAAAUUCCCUGGUUAUCCAGACGAAGAUGAAAUUUCAUUUGAAUUCGACAUGAUCCAGAACUGGCGUCACUAGGAGGAUAUGACAGGUUCAGUGGCGGAUGGUCUCUAUAUAUAGUAUGGUUUUGGGGUGAAUGUAACUUGAUAGUUGAUAACUGACAUUAUUCGUAUGUGU